rnacentral:rRNA from 1 species
AUUGAACGCUGGCGGCAGGCCUAACACAUGCAAGUCGAACGAGUGGCGGACGGGUGAGUAAUGUCUGGGAAACUGCCUGAUGGCGGGGGAUAACUACUGGAAACGGUAGCUAAUACCGCCUACCAUUAGAUGUGGCCAGAUGGGAUUGGCUUGUUGGUGGGGUGGCGGCUCACCAAGGCGACGAUCCCUAGCUGGUCCGAGAGGAUGAGCGGGCACACUGGAACUGAGAGACGGUCCAGACUCCUACGGGAGGCAGCAGUGGGGAAUAUUGGACAAUGGGCGCAAGCCUGAUGCAGCCAUGCCGCGAGUAUGAAGAAGGCCUGCGGGUUGUAAAGUACUUUCAGCGGGGAGGCGUUACCCGCAGAAGAAGCACCGGCUAACUCCGUGCCAGCAGCCGCGGUAAUUC